rnacentral:rRNA from 1 species
GCAGCCUGCAACCCGGCUGCGUGAAGCUGGAAUCGCUAGUAAUCGCGGAUCAGCAUGCUGCGGUGAAUACGUUCCCGGGCCUUGUACACACCGCCCGUCACACCAUGGGAGUCGGUAACACCCGAAGUCGGUAGUCUAACCGAAAGGAGGACGCCGCCGAAGGUGGGAUUGAUGACUGGGGUGAAGUCGUAACAAGGUACC